CAGAUUAUAACAAAUGACAUUGUAAUGUUUUAUGGUCAAUUUCAAUGGUGAUCGAACUCAGCAGUGAAUAUUGGGCCGGUAGAACAAGCGAAACCUCAAUGCCAAAUAUAUAACACAAACUCGGUCAGGUUUCUUCACCAGCAUCACUCCCCAUUCUUUUCUCCCUUCUCGUUCGCAUGCAUUGCACAGACUCUGUAUACAAAGCCCUUUACAGCACAAUAUCUAUCAAUAAGAUUGACCCAACAAAACAUCAUUCCUACCGCUAGUUUUCUGUCAGUUUGUGCCAUGAAUAUCACUGGUGACUCUGAUUUCAGUCUUUAAAUGAUC
rnacentral:lncRNA from 1 species